rnacentral:rRNA from 1 species
UACGUAGGUGGCAAGCGUUAUCCGGAAUUAUUGGGCGUAAAGCGCGCGCAGGCGGUUUCUUAAGUCUGAUGUGAAAGCCCACGGCUCAACCGUGGAGGGUCAUUGGAAACUGGGGAACUUGAGUGCAGAAGAGAAAAGCGGAAUUCCACGUGUAGCGGUGAAAUGCGUAGAGAUGUGGAGGAACACCAGUGGCGAAGGCGGCUUUUGGUCUGUAACUGACGCUGAGGCGCGAAAGCGUGGGGAGCAAACAGGGAUUAAG